CAGCAGUGGAAGAGAAGAGUCAAUGGCAGAGGAGUCUCUGCUUUUAUAGCAGUGCCCAAGUUGUUCUUCAGGGGCCAAUAGCAAGCACUGUGUGACCCUGCAUUUGUGAUUUCCAUAGGCUGUAUUAUUAGAGACUUCAGUUUGGUGUAUGUUUGUGCAGUGUGGGAGCAAUAAAGAGCAAAGGCAAGAAAUAAAGAGCCUCCGGGUGCUGACAUAAAAUUAAAUCCUGACUUCUCUUUCAAGUUCAAGAAAAUGAAGGUGAUGCUGCAAGACCUUCCUUCAUUUCCACCAGGCUGCCAGAAACUGGCCGCACACAGGCUGGACUUGAUUUUUCCUCAGUACCAGAGUAAGGAAGCAUCACCUCCAUUUGUCAGCAUUCCACUGUGAGGUCUAUGCAUGCCACACCUUUUCUACAGAAAACUACUUGGAAUU